ensembl:snoRNA
GCCGAGACUAGAGUCACAUCCUGACACCUUGCUUGUCCUGGUGUGCUAGAGUUCUCGGAGAGAAUACGCUGAUCUAGAUUCACUGGCGGAGGCAACCAGUGCCUCCGUUAGUGCCCAGGUCAGAAACAUGC